GGACCAGAUGACCCACUGUGGUCCCUUCCAACCUUACCCAUUCUGUGAUUCCGUGACCUUCUGCUACUUGUAAGCUUGUAGCAUCCAUAACAUCCCAUUGCAGGGAGUUCCGGCACAUCACUGUAUGUAUGAACAAUCACUUUCUUUGCUUUCCUGACAUUUGUGCCACUGUCUGAUGACCCACCCCUGCUUCUUGCUUUGGAAAGUAAGAAGUAAAACAAUUUUGCCUUCUCUAUGCCAGUCACCACUCUGUGGGCUCCACAAGAUCCCCUUUCAGUCUGGUAAGGCUUCUCUUGCAAAUUGACAAGUCCAAGUGAAAUCUUGUUCUUUCCAAGGAAGUGUUUGUUGUUAUUCUAUGAACUUUACCAUUUCUGCUAUUCCUGUUUGUAGUGGUGGGACUGGAACUGCAUAUAGCGUUCCUGACAGAAGCACAGUGGGUUUAUAAAGUGACGUAACAAUAUUCCCUGCCUUGUUCUCAAUAUUGUCACUAAAUGUUUUUAGUAUUCAAUGUGGUGUUGAUCUCUGCUAAGCUGCUGUUGUUCUACAAAUAACAUUAAACUUCCCAGUUCUCACUCCUGCAGUUUGGUGGUUAGUUCAGACACCUUUAUUCCACAUGUGAUGUAGGACUGUCUUUUCCCCAUGUGCAUAAUUUUACAUGUGUCUGUCUUCACGAUCAUCGGUCGUUUUCCUGCCAGGCACUGAGGCCUGUGUUCAGUUGCCCCCAUGUGGGUGUCCAGCACUAUCCCAGAUGACACAGAGGGUCUGACUGAGGCUUUGAGGAGCCUUGUGGGUCUCCAUCGAGUCCUGUGCCAGAGCCAAUAAGGUCUCUCCAAUGAGUGCAGGUGAUUGAGCCCCAAAUAGUGAAAGGUCUUUCUGCAGUUCUCAGCCACACCUUUUCUUUCCCUCCAUGAAUAACACGAUACCAUCAGCAAUCUUUUUCUUGUCACUCCUUGCCUUAUUCAAAUUGUUUAUGAAUAAGCACAGAGAUGUGAAGGUGCAUUAGUGACCUCUUACUGUGAAAACUGACCAUUUACUUAGUCUUUUAACUGCAUUUUAAUCCAUGCUGGGCUUUUCUCUCUUAUCCCGUGGUUGCUUAGUCUCCUUAACAGCCUUUGGCAAGAAAGUCUUGAAAGUGAUUCAGAAAUCUCAGGAAACUGUAUCUCUGCAAUCCCUCUUAUCCAAGUGCUUGCUGACACAUUUAGAAAACUUCAUACUGAGUGUAUAAGGCAAGACUUCUCUUUGGAAGAAAAAUGUCAACAAAACCCUUGUUGAUCUUUCCCUGGUAAAUCAUAUCUGUCCCUGUGUGCACUAAUAUAUAUGUAUUUGUACUAGUCUGUGCAGAAUAGGCAUCAGUUUUAAUGGUCUGUAGUUCCCAUCUUUCCCCUAGAAACAAUUCUAAGAAAUAAUGUAACAUUUUAUGCAAUCCACUUCUUAGAUGCCAAGAAAGUUUUAAGCAAGAAUUUAUACCACUAUUAGCAUUUCAGUUACUGCAUCCUUGAGAUUCCUGGAUGAACAGAAUCUGUUGAGAAUCUGUCACUGUUCAUUUUGUGUAUUCUUAACUCAUGAACCUCUUUGUAAGUCAUCAACUCAUUUUGAAACAGAUCAGGGAGAAGUCCAAUGAUGAAGUGUUCCAGCAGCAGAACACAGACUCGGGAAGUUGUCUUGGGUUUUCCACCAUGGCCUUAACAUCUCCCAGUACUAUUUUUGUAGCCGUUUCAGUUGAUGGGUUUUAGCUUCUGGCACCUGGUACACUAAGAAUAUUGAAAUAGUAUCAGAUCCUCUUGAAAGUGAUUUAUUAAUGGGCUUUAUGCAUUUUAUGACUUCGAUGUAAUUCAUGAGAUCUAUCAUAAUGCUCUGAAUUGGAGAUUUCUUUGGGGGGUUUUGUGUCUUAUUCCUUUGUAUGGGAUUAUUCCAUGCUUGUGCUUAAUUUUCUUAUCUCUUUCUGGUCUUGGUUGGUUUUUUUUAGAUAUAAUAUACCCAUUCUGAAGUAUAUAAUAUAUAACUUUUUCUCUACCCAUUUCUUGAUUCUAGUGACUUUCCUAUUUUUUGACCUCUGCUGAGUAUAGAAUUGAGGUUUCAGGUAAGUGAUGCUUCACCAGCUUUCCAAAAUGUCUUUCCAAAUUAGUAACAACUAAAUAAAUGCUCAUCAUUGCAUUUGGUGAAGGUUAUACUUGGCAUUUAUAAACAUCAAUUUUCAUUUGCCAUUUUAUCAGAAGCGAUUUAAUAUUGCAGGAUCUUUCUGCAAGUCUUAGAAUCAACUUUAAGUGGAACUUUUUGGAAUGGGUUUGUUUUAUCUGAAUACUAUUUAUCCCUAUUUUCAGGUCAUAUAUUGGACUGCAGAGGUCCCAGUACAGAUCCAUUUUUUUAUCAAUGGAUGGACUUUCCUCUCUCUCACUGUUUUGUAAAUUGUGAAGCAAAAAACAGAAAGCCAGGCAUCGGUACCAGGACAUUUCAUUCUGGAACACUACAGAAACAGCCUCCCACACAAUAAAUCAUGGGAGAACUGAAUGCAAGGUCUCUGAGGCAAUUUCCCUGGACAGCAACAAUCUCUCUGUUCCAUUUGGAAAACAUGAAAAAACUUCACAAGUCAAGGAAAAAAUCAAGUAGGAACAGACAGAACAUAUGCUGUUAAAUGUGGGAGGGUGGAGAGAGUACUUCCUUUGGCCCAUACGAGGAGGAAAGAGCUGAGUAGCAGGGCCGAUGGAAUACAGGACUCAUCCAACUUGGUACAUGCAGAUAAGACACUGCAAGACCUCAGACUACCUGGCUGAGGGAGAACAGUCAGCCAGCAAGAAGUACCAAGUGAUGGGAAAGGAAAAUUUGGCAAUGGUCAGGGAAGAUUCUACUUGCAAAAGAAAAAGAAAAGUCUCCUUUGGAUUAUGACAGCCAGGUCAUGGCUGAUUUACAGACAGCAGCAAAAAAGCCAUCUGAAGGCCAGUCCAACCAACUCUGCAGACCUCAGUGCUGUGACUUGGCACAGCAAGCCCAUGCCAUAGGUAUACAAGAUUUAUAACAAACUGGAAAUACCCAGCAUCUGCUCAGCAAUAACAAGAUCAGCAGCCAUAUGUGAUUUGAAGCCAAGGCCUAAAGAAGCCCCACCUUUCUCCCCCCAAACAGGUUUUACAAACUCUGUUUCCAAAGGAGAGGGAUUUUACAAUGACAACAACAGCAGGAAUGAGGAUAUAACUAAGCAAAGAGAUUGGACAACUGAGAAUAUAAUUCGCAAUAAAAGAGCUUAUGAGCUACUUCCAAUGGCAUUUACAGAAUCUCCGCUCAGGGAUUCUUACACUGAUGUCAAUUCACAGAUCAUACACUACAGACAAACUCCCCUUAAAAAGUUUGCAUAUACAGAUGUUUUAAAAUACUUACUGACAUAGUUUCAGGCUACACUUUUAUAAUCAGGUGUAAUUGUCAAUAUUUGUCGAUUUAAGGAUUCUGGCAGAAGACAACAAAGCAUUCCCUCUAGGAAGUUGGAGUCUUCAUAGUGGAAAAGAUCAUGGCAGUAAUCCAAAGCUGGUACUAACAUUUCACCCUUCCCACACUGGCAUUUUAUUCAUCUGAAAGCUGACCAAGCUGUAAUUGCUGGAGCUUUCAGCAGCCGUGUCAUCUAGCCACACUCACACAGAAGAGGGCAGUUAGUUCUUGUUACACAAGUCUGGGAUUUCAGCUGUACAACUGGGAUCUCAAAGUUGUAGUCUUCCAGUAAUGUUAGGAAUAAAUUAAUCCAAGUGUGUCCUUUUCCUGUAUAUGAUGAUUUAUUGCCCCAUUUACCCACUUGGUUUGCUAAGAAUGACAAUUUUAGGUGGCAUCAGACCCAAUCUGAUGUGUUUAGGCUAUUAAUUUGAAAAGCACACUAAACUUAAACAGUGUAUUUUGUAUGCUCAUGUCAAUUCUGGUUACCCAAAUCAACAUUUCUACUGGCUUUUUUUUAGCUCUUUGGUGUGUUUAUGGCAAAAGCCUUCAAUCCCCAUCCCUCAGAAAACAAAAGAAAAAGCCCUCCAGGAAACUCCAAACAAAACACUCCCACAAACCCAAACUUAAGUGUGGUCUCCCCACAUUCCUUUGUACUGCACAGAACAGAGUUAUGGGCGAAGGAGCGAGUGCUCUGUUUGUUUUACAGAAUCAUAAAUGAACGUGGCUCCAGUGUAACAAGUAGCUGGCUAUCACAGAGAAUACUGCAACUAGACUUGGAGAGAACUCUUUGCUGACAUUACUCAUUUUAACAAAGAUCCUGAGAAAUCAAGUACAAACCCCAUGUUUUGCUGAGUUAUAACAGAAAUACCUCAGAAGUGGCUUAGCAUGAACUACCCUCUCUACCACCAUCACUCAUAUGGCAGAAAAGUGAGAAUUUGUUUUUAUUUAAUAGUCUGAAAAUACUAAGAAGGGAGUUGAUAUGAUUAACGCAGUACUGUGAAAUGUACUGUAGAGAUGCAGCAGUAACUGUGCCCCACAGGAUUUACUUUUACAACCAUGUUCAACAUAUGAAAAUCCCAUCCUUACUCUAACAAUAUGCUGUUGUUUGACUGAGGUGCCUUAGGUCAUAUCGUCAAUCGUGUGUCUGGCUUGUGAAGAAGAUGCAGAGUUCAGAAUUUGUGGCAUUAGUCUGUGCAGUGUUUCUAAGCUGCGGGGCAGGAUCCAAACCUGUUGCAAAUUAUCUCCUGGAGCUGGAAACCAUAAUACCAGAUGAAUGUGCCUAAUGUGUCUGGGUAUUGUAUUAAUAAAGGAGUUUACCCAGGAGGGAAAGGCUAGGCAAAGUCAUUUAGGGAAUUACACUUCAUCCCUUUUUUUGGUACCAUCAUCCCAUUCCCCUACAUGUUUCAUUACCUCCCUCCUU